UACGUAGGGUCCGAGCGUUGUCCGGAAUUACUGGGCGUAAAGAGCUCGUAGGUGGUUUGUCGCGUUGUUCGUGAAAACUCACAGCUCAACUGUGGGCGUGCGGGCGAUACGGGCAGACUGGAGUACUGCAGGGGAGACUGGAAUUCCUGGUGUAGCGGUGGAAUGCGCAGAUAUCAGGAGGAACACCGGUGGCGAAGGCGGGUCUCUGGGCAGUAACUGACGCUGAGGAACCAAAGCGUGGGGAGCGAACAGG
rnacentral:rRNA from 1 species